AACGAACGCUGGCGGCAUGCCUAACACAUGCAAGUCGAACGAGACCUUCGGGUCUAGUGGCGCACGGGUGCGUAACGCGUGGGAACCUGCCUUUAGGUUCGGAAUAACUCAGAGAAAUUUGAGCUAAUACCGGAUAAUGUCUUCGGACCAAAGAUUUAUCGCCUUUAGAUGGGCCCGCGUUGGAUUAGCUAGUUGGUGGGGUAAAGGCCUACCAAGGCGACGAUCCAUAGCUGGUCUGAGAGGAUGAUCAGCCACACUGGGACUGAGACACGGCCCAGACUCCUACGGAGGCAGCAGUGGGGAAUAUUGGACAAUGGGCGAAAGCCUGAUCCAGCAAUGCCGCGUGAGUGAUGAAGGCCUUAGGGUUGUAAAGCUCUUUUACCCGAGAUGAUAAUGACAGUAUCGGGAGAAUAAGCUCCGGCUAACUCCGUGCCAGCAGCCGCGGUAAAGUGACUACUG
rnacentral:rRNA from 1 species